rnacentral:rRNA from 1 species
AGAGCGAACGCUGGCGGCAUGCUUAACACAUGCAAGUCGCACGGGCAGGGGAAACUCUGUCAGUGGCGGACGGGUGAGUAACGCGUAGGUAUCUAUCCUUGGGUGGGGGACAACGGUUGGAAACGACUGCUAAUACCGCAUGAUAACUGAGGUUUAAAGGCGCAAGUCGCCUGGGGAGGAGCCUGCGUACGAUUAGCUUGUUGGUGGGGUAAAGGCCUACCAAGGCGACGAUCGUUAGCUGGUCUGAGAGGAUGAUCAGCCACAUUGGGACUGAGACACGGCCCAAACUCCUACGGGAGGCAGCAGUGGGGAAUAUUGGACAAUGGGCGAAAGCCUGAUCCAGCAAUGCCGCGUGUGUGAAGAAGGUCUUCGGAUUGUAAAGCACUUUCGACGGGGACGAUGAUGACGGUACCCGUAGAAGAAGCCCCGGCUAACUUCGUGCCAGCAGCCGC